UACGGGGGGUGCAAGCGUUACUCGGAAUCACUGGGCGUAAAGGACGCGUAGGCGGAUUAUCAAGUCUUUUGUGAAAUCUAGUGGCUUAACCACUAAACUGCUUAGGAAACUGAUAGUCUAGAGUAGGGGAGAGGUAGAUGGAAUUCUUGGUGUAGGGGUAAAAUCCGUAGAGAUCAAGAAGAAUACCCAUUGCGAAAGCGAUCUGCUGGAACCUAACUGACGCUGAGGCGUGAAAGCGUGGGUAG
rnacentral:rRNA from 1 species